ACAUGCUUGCGAUACGAUAAUUUUUCCUAUUGCUGGAAACUGAAGAAUCGAUCUCUGAAAUUGAUAGUCAUCACAUUUUUCAAGAAGCGUCCGAGCUGUGAUCGUGUAAUUAAACGGGCUCCUGGCAAUAUGAGCUCACAAGCACGCUGUGACUGAGAAGAUAAAACAGAAGUGUUGCAGAGCUCUCUUUCCAGAAUGAAUUGAGGAUGAUCAAGCUGAAGAUAGCCUCAAAAAGGAGUGAACUCCACUGUAACAGUUAGGUGACUAAUUUGGAAACUUGAGCACUUGGCAAAUACACCAUAGCUUGCAAUUCUGAUGAUUAAAGUUUGGUGGGGUAAUUGAAAUGUCAGUCCC